rnacentral:rRNA from 1 species
UGGGGAAUAUUGCGCAAUGGGGGAAACCCUGACGCAGCAACGCCGCGUGAGUGAAGAAGGCUCUAGGGUUGUAAAGCUCUUUCAGCGAUGAUGAUUAUGACCGUAAUCGCAGAAGAAGCCCCGGCUAACUUCGUGCCAGCAGCCGCGGUAAUACGAAGGGGGCUAGCGUUGUUCGGAAUCACUGGGCGUAAAGCGGGUGCAGGCGGAUUGUUAAGUCAGAAGUGAAAGCCCAGGGCUCAACCUUGGAACUGCUUUUGAUACUGGCAAUCUAGAGUCCGGGAGAGGAAAGUGGAAUUCUCUAGUGUAGAGGUGAAAUUCGUAGAUAUUAGGAGGAACACCAGAUGCGAAGGCGACUUUCUGGAACGUGACUGACGCUCAGACCCGAAAGUGUGGGGAGCAAACAGGAUUAGAUACCCCGGUAGUCC